rnacentral:rRNA from 1 species
UACGUAGGGUGCAAGCGUUAAUCGGAAUUACUGGGCGUAAAGCGUGUGCAGGCGGUUUUGUAAGUCUGUCGUGAAAUCCCCGGGCUCAACCUGGGAAUUGCGAUGGAGACUGCAAGGCUAGAAUCUGGCAGAGGGGGGUAGAAUUCCACGUGUAGCAGUGAAAUGCGUAGAGAUGUGGAGGAACACCGAUGGCGAAGGCAGCCCCCUGGGUCAAGAUUGACGCUCAGGCACGAAAGCGUGGGGAGCAAACAGG